rnacentral:misc_RNA from 1 species
CGCACAUUGCGCCCCUUGGUAUUCCGGGGGGCAUGCCUGUCCGAGCGUCAUUACACCAAUCAAGCACCGCUUGGCAUUGGGUCACGACGUCCGCCUCUCGCGAGGCGGGCGGGCCCUGAUAAUCUUGACGGGGCCGCGAGAAGCACCGGGCGUAGCAGAAUCUGUCACGACGUCCGCGAGCGAAUUGCGAGCUCCCGCGCCGGAGGGCGUGAAAUCGGCGAGAGCCACCAAGGUUGACCUCGGAUCAGGUAGGGAUACCCGCUGAACUUAA